CCUACGGGAGGCAGCAGUGAGGAAUAUUGGACAAUGGACGAGACUCUGAACCAGCCAAGCAGCGUGAAGGAUGACUGCCCUAUGGGUUGUAAACUUCUUUUAUAAAGGAAUAAAACGAGGCACGUGUGCCUUGUUGCAUGUACUUUAUGAAUAAGCAUCGGCUAAAUCCGUGCCAGCAGCCGCUGUAAUACGGAGGAUCCGAGCGUUAUCCGGAUUUAGUGGGUUUAAAGGGAGCGUAGAUGGGUUGUUAAGUCAGUUGUGAAAGUUUGCGGCUCAACCGUAAAAUUGCAGUCGAUACUGGCUGUCUUGAGUACAGUUGAGGUAGGCGGAAUUCGUGGUGUAGCGGUGAAAUGCUUAGAUAUCACGAAGAACACCGAUUGCGAAGGCAGCUUACUAAACUGUGACUGACAUUGAUGCUCGAAAGUGUGGGUAUCAAACAGGAUUAGAUACCCCGGUAGUC
rnacentral:rRNA from 1 species